GAUGAUCAUUGAUCAUUAAUUAUUAGUUCUAUUAUGGCGACUUCGUCGUUCGGUCAUGCUGCAGAUAAGAUUCCUCGU
rnacentral:ribozyme from 1 species